rnacentral:rRNA from 1 species
AUUGAACGCUGGCGGCAGGCCUAACACAUGCAAGUCGAGCGGAGCGGCGGACGGGUGAGUAAUGCCUAGGAAUCUGCAUGGUAGUGGGGGAUAAGGUCCGGAAACGGGCGCUAAUACCGCAUACUAUCAGAUGAGCCUAGGUCGGAUUAGGUAGUUGGUGGGGUAAAGGCCUACCAAGGCGACGAUCCGGAGCUGGUCUGAGAGGAUGAUCAGUCACACUGGAACUGAGACACGGUCCAGACUCCUACGGGAGGCAGCAGUGGGGAAUAUUGGACAAUGGGCGAAAGCCUGAUGCAGCCAUGCCGCGUGUGUGAAGAAGGUCUUCGGGUUGUAAAGUACUUUAAGCUGGGAGGCGUUACCAACAGAAGAAGCACCGGCUAACUCCGUGCCAGCAGCCGCGGUAAUAC